AAAAUUAAAAGGACGCGGUAACCUUGACCGUGAUAAUGUAGCAUAAUCAUUCGCCAUUUAAUUGAUGGAUAGUAUGAAUGGUUGAACGAAUAUUUCACUGUCUUAAAAAGAAAUACCAAAAAAUUGGAAUAAUAGUAAAGAUACUAUUUAAGAUUGUAAGACGAAAAGACCCUAUAGAGCUUAACUAUAAUCUCUUUAAAUUAAAAGAAAUAUUUUCAAAAACAAGGAGAUUGGUAGUUUAGUUGGGGCGACUAUCUUUUAAACCUAACAAAGAUAAGCAAAGUAAAUAAAAAUACUUAUUGUAUAAUUAAUUAAUUUAACAAUUAUAAAAAUAGGCUAUAAUGACCCGUUAUAAUUUUAUAAAUAAAAAUAACGAUCAAUAAAUAAAAGCUACCUUAGGGAUAACAGGAUAAUUUUAUUUUAGAGAUCUUAUCGAAAAUAAAGUUUGUCACCUCUAUGUUGAAUUAAGA
rnacentral:rRNA from 1 species